rnacentral:lncRNA from 10 species
AGUUUUUAUAUUAUCUUGGAGAAUCCACAUGGAUAUUUGAGACCUUGAAGAACAUGGAGUCUAUAUCUUAACCUUUGUAUAUGCCAGCUCAGUGUCAUUUUCAUCUUGCUCCUUCAUUUAAUUAGAUUUACUUUUUUGCCUGGCAUUGCAUUGGACACUGGGCAUGUGACAACCUCAAGUUGCUGUUAGCAGAGGGAGUGGGAGAGACAUAAGCCAACAGCAAUUACAAUUCAGAACUUAAAUGCCAUUCUGGAGGUGUGUGCGAGGGCAUGGGAAGCCUGAGCUCAGACUUCUUCCCGAAGACAUCCAUUAUCUCUCCAAAGGUAAGGAGCCACACAAAGGAACACAAUAGCAACAGAAAGCAAAAACAUUUUUGCUUGUGAUUGCAAUGGAAAAACCCUCUUAAGGUCACUCAGGUGGGAAAGAGUGAACGUGGACUUGGGAAGGUGAGUAAAGUUCUCAGAGCCAGCGCUGCAUUCACAGAUGGCUCAGGUCCUUGGCAAGCCAGCCAUGGCCACUACCCAUGCCCCUCCCCCUGCCUCUUCUUACUUGGUCCCUGGGCUCUGCCUUGUCUGCACCAGUGUCUUGGUGCUGCUGUCAUCUGCUGCCUCUUGUCCUGCCCACUCCCGGGAGGUAAGUCCCCCAGACUCUUCUGUGCCCAGCACAAUCACAAACAUCUCUGAUUUUUAUGUGCAGGUUCCUUAAACGUUGCCACCUGGACAUUUGGCAGGGUGGUAAUGUUUAAGGAACCAUAAUUGGCCGGGUGCGUUGGCUCAUG